UACGUAGGGUGCAAGCGUUAAUCGGAAUUACUGGGCGUAAAGCGUGCGCAGGCGGUUCGGAAAGAAAGAUGUGAAAUCCCAGGGCUUAACCUUGGAACUGCAUUUUUAACUACCGAGCUAGAGUGUGUCAGAGGGGGGUGGAAUUCCACGUGUAGCAGUGAAAUGCGUAGAUAUGUGGAGGAACACCGAUGGCGAAGGCAGCCCCCUGGGAUAACACUGACGCUCAUGCACGAAAGCGUGGGGAGCAAACAGG
rnacentral:rRNA from 1 species